rnacentral:rRNA from 1 species
UACGUAGGGAGCAAGCGUUGUCCGGAAUCAUUGGGCGUAAAGCGCGCGUAGGUGGCUUCAUAAGUCCGUUGUGAAAGUCAAAGGCUCAACCUUUGAAAGCCGAUGGAUACUGUGGAGCUAGAGUACGGAAGAGGCGAGUGGAAUUCCUGGUGUAGCGGUGGAAUGCGCAGAUAUCAGGAGGAACACCAAUAGCGAAGGCAGCGCGCUGGGACGUUACUGACACUGAGGCGCGAAAGCGUGGGGAGCGAACAGG